rnacentral:rRNA from 1 species
GGAUAACUACUGGAAACGGUAGCUAAUACCGCAUAACGUCGCAAGACCAAAGAGGGGGACCUUCGGGCCUCUUGCCAUCGGAUGUGCCCAGAUGGGAUUAGCUAGUAGGUGGGGUAAAGGCUCACCUAGGCGACGAUCCCUAGCUGGUCUGAGAGGAUGACCAGCCACACUGGAACUGAGACACGGUCCAGACUCCUACGGGAGGCAGCAGUGGGGAAUAUUGCACAAUGGGCGCAAGCCUGAUGCAGCCAUGCCGCGUGUAUGAAGAAGGCCUUCGGGUUGUAAAGUACUUUCAGCGGGGAGGAAGGGAGUAAAGUUAAUACCUUUGCUCAUUGACGUUACCCGCAGAAGAAGCACCGGCUAACUCCGUGCCAGCAGCCGCGGUAAUACGGAGGGUGCAAGCGUUAAUCGGAAUUACUGGGCGUAAAGCGCACGCAGGCGGUUUGUUAAGUCAGAUGUGAA